rnacentral:rRNA from 1 species
GAUAAACGCUGGCGGCGCACAUAAGACAUGCAAGUUGAACGGACUUAAUCGAAAUAUUUAUAUUUUGAAGCGGUUAGUGGCGGACUGGUGAGUAACGCGUAAGAAACCUGCCUAUUAGAGGGGAAUAACAGUGAGAAAUCAUUGCUAAUACCGCAUAUGCCAUAGAUAUCACAUGAUAACAGUGGGAAAGGAGCAAUCCGCUAAUAGAUGGCCUUGCGUCUGAUUAGAUAGUUGGUGGGGUAACGGCCUACCAAGUCGACGAUCAGUAGCCGGACUGAGAGGUUGAACGGCCACAUUGGGACUGAGAUACGGCCCAGACUCCUACGGGAGGCAGCAGUCGGGAAUAUUGCGCAAUGGAGGAAACUCUGACGCAGUGACGCCGCGUAUAGGAAGAAGGUUUUCGGAUUGUAAACUAUUGUCGUUAGGGAAGAGAAAGGACAGUACCUAAGGAGGAAGCUCCGGCUAACUACGUG